rnacentral:rRNA from 1 species
GACGAACGCUGGCGGCGUGCUUAACACAUGCAAGUCGAACGGAAAGGCCCUGCUUUUGUGGGGUGCUCGAGUGGCGAACGGGUGAGUAACACGUGAGUAACCUGCCCUUGACUUUGGGAUAACUUCAGGAAACUGGGGCUAAUACCGGAUAGGAGCUCCUGCUGCAUGGUGGGGGUUGGAAAGUUUCGGCGGUUGGGGAUGGACUCGCGGCUUAUCAGCUUGUUGGUGGGGUAGUGGCUUACCAAGGCUUUGACGGGUAGCCGGCCUGAGAGGGUGACCGGCCACAUUGGGACUGAGAGACGGCCCAGACUGCUACGGGAGGCAGCAGUGGGGAAUAUUGCACAAUGGGCGGAAGCCUGAUGCAGCAACGCCGCGUGCGGGAUGACGGCCUUCGGGUUGUAAACCGCUUUCGCCUGUGACGAAGCGUGAGUGACGGUAAUGGGUAAAGAAGCACCGGCUAACCACGUG